AUGGAGACUCAGCCAAAAGGCCAAGUGACCCUCUUAGAGGAGGAGUUUCUAACUGUGAACUGCUCCUAUGAAACCAAACAGUACCCUGCCCUUUCCUGGUAUGUCCAAUAUUCUGGAGAAGGUCCAAAGCUCCUUCUGAGAGCCCACAGGGACAACGAGAAGGGAAGCAGCAAAGGUUUUGAAGCUACAUACAAUACAGAAACCACCUCCUUCCACUUGGAGAAAGCCUCAGUCCAAGAGUCAGACUCGGCUGUGUACUACUGUGCUCUGAGUGACACAAUGACGGAAACUACAGGAGGAGCUGAGCACAAACUCUGA